AAUCCUUAUUGAGUUAGUGAACCUUAAACAAUAAUCUUAGAAUUAUUAAAAACAUAAGAAAUUAGGAUGGAAGAAAAAAUAAUUAAAAACUAAGAAAAAUUGAAAACGAGAUACCAAAAAUGGAAUAAAAAAUGUCUUGUGCUUUUGCUUGCUCUAGAUAGAAGGUAUUUUCUAUUGAUUGUGAUUAAGAAAGUUCAUUUCAGGUUGUUGAUGCAGCAAGUUUUCAACUUUACGUGGAACAAACCUACUUAUUAUGCCUUGACGUUUCAAGUUGUGAUGUUCGCCUUUCCAUCUAACGUCGAAGAUGAGCUUUGAUAAGUUAUAGUAUUUCAUUCCUUCUUUAAAAUUAUAUAUAUAUUUUUUUUGUUUUUGAUACGUUUCAUAAAUAUAUGUAAUUUCUAUCUUCAAAUAUGAUCUCAUAUAUAAUUUGACAAUUUUAUUCUUAAUGUAAGACUCUUUCUCCAUUAUUAAUACCCUCAAUAUGAGAUAAGUACACGUGCGUCAAUUAACUUCACCAAUUCACAAUGAGUAGUGAUACUAAAUCAGAUUUCGAACGGGAGGAUCAACAGACCAAAUAACAACAGAUUCACCAGACUACAUCUCGUCAAGAAAAGAAACAUAUUCGGCGCCACAUCCGGUGAGUAAUUAAUUUCGUACAUGAAUCAGUCUAAAUGUUUAAUUUUAAUGUUGUUACAUGUUUUAUAAUAUCGUACGUGAACUGAAGCGUGAAAAGAAAAUUAGGGUUUAGAAUUCGAUUUAAAUUAAACCGUGCAUGGUUGAGUUUUUUCCGUGCGCGGUUAUCUUUUAUGUUUCCUUUGAUGUUUAUAUGCACGAAUUGUGUAAUCUAAACACUAAAAUUAUUUUUUUGUACACGAUUUAACUGUGCACGGUGAGUUCUCCGAUGCACGAUUAUGCACGGUUGCACUUUUCUGGUUUAUUUGAUAUUUAUACGCCUGUAUUGAAUAAUUCAGACACUAAAAUCUGUGCACAAUUCGUUCUUCCGUGCACGGUUGACUUAUUACUUUCUUGCACAGAUGUGUUUUUCUGCAUUAUUUGAUAUAUACACAUGUUUUGUAUUACUAGAUAUGAUCCUUUUGGGUUAUUGUGUGCACGAUUAGUUCUUGAUUGCACGGUUCUUGUUUUGUGCACGAUUUGAUUGUUUUACUUUGAUAUUUGAUUAUUCUAAUAAUUUAUUAUUCAUUGCAGCCUCCGCGGUAUACUUGGUUACGUCCAUACAUGUCCCGCAACAAUCGCCAAGUCAUCUUUCGUCCGAAAUAUAACACCCACUGAUAAUAUCCUGCUUUCCAGUACACUAGGUUCUUGCCAACCUAAUGGUAGCGCACUGUCAAAAUACGGAGUGGAAUCGCCCAAUUACGUAGCUCAGGCCACGCUUCGUCAACUCCCCCAUAAGAUUUGACACCAGACUGAUGCUCCAUUGUGAAGUUGUGAUGUCCUGACUAUCUCUCCAAGCGCAAAAUUCAUUUGUCACUGAAUCAAAGAUCUCCCUGCACCGUAUCUUGUCUUCUUCCUCAUCCGAAGACUCGGGUUUUUGUUCCUAUGCCGACGAAUUGUUGUUGCGAUCAUCAAUUUUGGGGAUACUUCUACUUGCAUCCAUCUCGGAAGGCAACACAGCAGACCACUGUAAAUUAUAUAAUCCUGCCUCAUUGUGUUGACCAGCAACUACAAAUUGUUUGCCUUUCUCGAUCACAUACACAACAUGAUAUUUUUUUGUUCGAAAAUUAGACGAUUCAAAUCUGAUUCAACCUUCGACGCUACUUUAAUUUUUCUCUCUUCGUCGGUGGUUGAUAUGUAGAAAAACAUAUAAUUUGUUCGACUAUUCUCGUUUAAUUGCUCAUGAACCUCCC
rnacentral:lncRNA from 1 species